rnacentral:rRNA from 1 species
GAGUUUGAUCCUGGCUCAGGACGAACGCUGGCGGUGCGCUUAAUGCAUGCAAGUCGAACGAGAACGGCGGCUUCGGUCGCUAAGUAAAGUGGCAGACGGCUGAGUAACACGUAAGUAACCAACCCCGGAGCGGGGAAUAAUCAUGAGAAAUCGUGCCUAAUACCCCGUACGUCCCAACAGGCGUUGCCGUUGGGGGAAAGGCUUCGGUCGCUCUGGGACGGGCUUGCGGCCUAUCAGGUAGUUGGUGGGGUAAAGGCCCACCAAGCCUUAGACGGGUACCCGGUGUGAGAGCACGAACGGGCAGAGGGGGACUGAGACACGGCCCCCACUCCUACGGGAGGCAGCAGCAGGGAAUCUUGCGCAAUGGGCGAAAGCCUGACGCAGCGACACCGCGUGGAGGAAGAAGGCUUUCGGGUCGUAAACUCCUUUUCUCGGGGAAGAGAACGGACGGUACCCGAGGAAUAAGCAUCGGCUAACUACGUGCCAGCAGCCGCGGUAAUACGUAGGAUGCGAGCGUUGUCCGGAUUUACUGGGCGUAAAGGGCGAGUAGGCGGCCCGCUAAGUCUCAUGUGAAAUCUCCCGGCUCAACUGGGAGGGGUCAUGAGAAACUGGCAGGCUUGAGGUCAGCAGAGGAAAGCGGAAUUCCCGGAGUAGCGGUGAUAUGCGUAGAUACCGGGAGGAACACCAGAGGCGAAGGCGGCUUUCUGGCCUGCACCUGACGCUGAGGCGCGAAAGCAUGGGGAGCGAACCGGAUUAGAUACCCUGGUAGUC